GAAGGCAGAUGCUUCACCAACGGAGCCACCCAGGCUCCCUAAAUUUGUCUACCUAUUUUAAAGGAGAGACUCUGAUAUUUUGGCCUCAUUUCUGUUAAGACCUUAGGACCCAAAGAUUUCUUUUUCAAGCACUUCUGCAGAAAUGAACAGGGAGGGGGAGAGGAGGGAACACAGGUCUCACCCCAUUACGCACUUCUCUGUGUAGUAAUACGGAGACAUCUGUACAAUCCCCAACCAGUCUUGUUACAACAUUUGAAUUCCAGCUGUGACAACAGAAACCAGUUUGAUUUCAGAGUGCACUGUAAUGUGAAUUCAUAGAUAUUCAUAGUUAAAUUUUUACAGUGUGUAGCUAAUUAGAGUCUGCAUUGUGGGGUGAUUCAAAACUGUAUUUUAAUAUGAUGAAAUAAUUGUGGUUAUUUAUUUCUGUUGUAGUCGGGCUGUGAAGUUCUUGUUUGAGAUUCUCAGUAGUUUUGAUAAUGAGCAGCAGAGGUUAUUUCUCCAGUUUGUGACAGGUAGCCCAAGAUUGCCUGUUGGAGGCUUCCGGAGUUUGAAUCCACCUUUGACAAUUGUCCGGAAGACAUUCGAAUCAACAGAAAACCCCGAUGACUUCUUGCCCUCUGUCAUGACGUGCGUGAACUAUCUUAAGUUGCCGGACUACUCGAGCAUUGAGAUAAUGCGUGAGAAACUGUUGAUUGCAGCCAGAGAAGGGCAGCAGUCGUUCCAUCUUUCCUGAUCACAACGAGAAUUGCAGCGUCUGCCUGUUACAGCAAAAGAAAAAAAUCAUGAUUUCUUUUCUAAAUGUAUCACCUGAGUCAAGGAAACAUGUUACGCCUUCUUGUUGUAGGAAAAACGGCUUGCAGAUUAUACAAGAGACACUUGGUUGAUAUUCAUUAAUGGCCCCAUGGACUUAAAAGUGAUCAGGCCCUAAAACGUUGUUGUGAUGAGGUUUCUUUAGCAAGUUCUUGUUUAAAUUAUCAUUUAUUUGAUGAGUGAAGUUUUUAACUUGCUUUGCUGUGUGAAAUUUAAAAAAAGGGAUGUUUUUCCAGGCUGAAACAAUAAAUGUCGCUGUGCAGUUUAAUUCUGGGCUGUGUGUAUCCAUCGAGCUAAGUCUGCAGUUUUGUUUCCUCCAAAGACAACUCUUGUACAUAAGUACAGAAAUUCAAGCUCACGUGUAUUUGACAAAUACGGUCUAGUAGGUUAGCUCUCUGUGCUUUCCACUACCAACCCCCUUCCAUUGCCCUCCCUGAGUCCUGUACUGUCUGCAGUCCACACGGUUCUUUUGUAUACAGCACUCGCGCUGGUUCCAUUCUCGUUAGCCAUGGGCUUCUGUUGUGCCAUGUUCUCUCUCAAAUUAAGAUAUAAUUUAAAACGCAUUGAACAGAAAUAUAUUGUCAGUAUAACUCAGUCUUUGUAGCUAGGUAGACUUCUCUCAUAGCUUAGUUUGAAUCCAGCUGUAGGGCAUUGCUGGCCUUUUCCCAGUGACACCUUAGGACUGUUUACACGGUGAUUCUGGCGACCACAGCAGCCUCUCGACCGAGGCCGGGAAAGCUCGCUCAUUUCCUUUUGUAGGUUACAAAGUCUGCACCUCGGGCUGGCCGAGAUUUAUUAUCCUAAGACCAGAGCAUUUUGAAUUGAUGUAACGUUUUAACCAAAAUUCGCAGUUUUCAUUCCGUUGGAGUAAAAGAAUUUUUUUCUCCCUUGUCCUUAUGUUCUAAGUUUUUGUUCAGAGUCUUCUUCCUUCUACACUCCCCUUCCCCUGCCCCCAGUGCUGACUUGGGACAAACAGUUCAGCCUUUGUCUCGGCACCGAUAAAAGCACCUGUAAGCAAUGCUCUGUCCAGUUGUUUCAUGUCCUGAUUUCUCAAAUCUGCAAGAAUCCAUCAGGUUAAUGUUUUUACCUGAAAAUAAAUAAAGUUUGCUUCACCUUUUUGUUUUUAGUUCUGUGCUGUAUGCAUAACUUUCCAUCGUGUAGAUGUAUUUCAGUGCAAGCAAAUCGUCACGUCUCCAUGAUUUGCAUCAUGGCUGAUUUCGCUAUUCAAAGAAUUUAUAAUAGCAACUUGAAGAACAUAAAACGUGGAAAGAAAAUGGGAGGAGAUUCCUUCCUAAGAUUCAAAAUUAAGCCUGUUGCAUAAAUUUGAGAGAAUUUCCAUAAUUCAUCUUUUUGAAAAUGAGAGAUGAGCUCUUUGUUUUGUUUUUGUUUUUUAUUGAACUUUGAGAAAUCAAUUCUCUUUUGUUUUACAGACUGUUUCAAAGUCUUACUUGGUGUAGACACCCCUUUGUUGCCCAUCCCUCCACUGAAGAGAAACUUCAGUGGCUUGUUUUACUUCGAUGACCUUUUCAUUUUUACACUUACAUGGCCUUAUAUGGAGCAUCCCCCUCCUCACCGAGAACUUGGGCGGUGACCCCCGUUAAGUGUGAUGGAGCUGUCGCAGGAGCUCAGGGGGGCUCUGGCAAGCAAGCAGCUUCACCGUGACGCCCAAGAAGGGAGUUGUGUUUCUGCAGUUCCGACAUUGACAGCCUAGGAGCCGAGCAGUGCGAUCAAGUGAAGUUUUUGUUAACAAAUGAACCGAUUUGUUGGAACUGUUCUGAUACCUUUUUGCAAACUAAGCACAAAGAUUAUUGUGUGAACAUAGCAUUUUGUUCCUCUUUUUUUCUAAGGGUUCUAUUGUUAAAAUUUAGACCUGUAUAAACAAAGCAAUAUUUCCUACUAAAAUAAUCUGUAUCUGACAUUUUAUCCGUAAUGUGGCCCUUGGCAUAUUUGGCCUCAUUGAUUUUCCACAUCAACCAAUACAUUGGAUGGUUUUGAAUCAACCUCUGGAGGUUGGUUGUUUCCAAGUCAGUAGUUCACCUGUUUAAAUGCUUGUAAAGUCUUUAGCUUCCUCCUUUAUGUGUGGGAUCCCUUGUUAAUUAGGGGCAGGAAGACUCUUCCCAUUCUAGAGCAAUCUCUCUUGGCAGAGGCCUUAAUCUUGCAAUGUAGGGAAGAAAGUAUAUACUUCAUUUGCUGUUACUCCAGUUUUGCCUUAACUUUAUUUGCUUAGUAAUCCUGCCAACAAGCACUGAUUUCUCGGUAUGCUUUGUACACCUAGAUGGGUAGUGACUGGGAUUUUGUUUUCCUUUAAUUUUUGCCGAGAUGGAGUCCGAUGUUAAUCACAGCCAACACCAGCUGUGUGGUGGUGUCGUUUAGGCGGUCAGCGGAUCUGAUCUGCUUUGUACAUGAGAACAUAUUUUUAACUAUUUCACUUUAAGAAGGAAGGAAGAGGUAAUUAAAUGAAAUCCCCUCAUCUCAGCCCCUCCAAAAAGUGAAUUGUGAGUUCUAGGUAGUCUAAUCAGGAACAGACACGGAGAGAGUUCUAGAUGCCUUAGCCCAACCCAGCAGAAAACUUUCACACAGCUGCUCAUUGUGAGGAUACAGACUUCUCUCUUCCUGUGCUUCGGCCCUGGUUCCUGCAUUUGUAGUGACCGAGAACUUUCUUUGACUUCAGCAUUCUAUGAAGAAGGUAGUAUCCCUAAAGCCCCUCUUACCUGCCUUUGGCUGUUGCCGUGACUCGGGGACAGGGCAUGAGAGGGGGUGGGGCAGCUGGUUGACUGUAACCAGUCACUUCCUGGUCCGGAGUUACAGCCCUGGGGCGUCCUGUGCAGAAAGGCAAUAAGGCUGAGGGAGAGGCCCCAGGGUCCACACCCCAGAAAGUAGAUCCAGCUCUUGACUUAACACAGUAAGGAUUCUCUCGCCAGCAAAUUCUAAGUGUGUCUUCCCUCUGGUUGGUUCGUCAGCUGUUGAGGCUAUGCUCCUGAUUCCUGUCAGUGCUUAGGAACUCAGGAUAUGGGAAUGUCCCUGAUACUCCAGGAAAGCUGUAACUUGAGAAAGGAGACUUGCAGGGGAAAGACAUAACCAUGCGCUCAGAAGCCAAAUCCUCGUGUGGGAUUCUGGGUGCCAUUGUUCCUUCUCCAUUAGCAAAGAUUUACUUUUCUUUAUCUGAGGCUUUGGUUUUUUGACCCGUUUUAUUUUCCCUACUGUAAUGAGAACGUUCGUUGUUUGGAAAUGUCAUGCUCUGUAUUUCUAAUUCUCAGAAAUGCUUUUGUAUGAGUCUUAGGUUUGACGUUGCAGUAGUUGACAUACCCAGUAAAGGAUAACCUAGUGACAAAUCAUUGAAAAUGCUUCCUCUGUUACCUCAAAAGAAAAAUCCAGACAAAAUAUAGCAUUUAUAUUUAUAGAAAACGGAGGAUUGGUUGUUUUCCAAGAACUUCAAGUUAAUGCAAGAAAAGUUCUUAACUCUGAAGACUUGUCCUGCAUAAAGGAGACAUUCUUUACUAAAGGAAGAGGUGGUUUUAUUUUUACAACAAGCCUACUCAUAUUACCAAACCUAUAACCGAUUGCUGAUCUCCUGUAAAGCAUUUUUUUCUCUUCUCUGAAACAGUGAUUUAUAUGAACUGUUGGAAUAAUGGAACCUCAAACUACAGAUGUGUAUGUAAAAUUGCAUAAAUGCACUGACUUCCUUCUCCCUGAAUAUAUUUUUAAUAAACAGCAUUAUCCUA